UACGUAGGUGGCAAGCGUUGUCCGGAUUUACUGGGCGUAAAGAGCGCGCAGGCGGUCGUUCAAGUCGCGUGUGAAAGCCCCGGGCUCAACCUGGGAAUGGCAUUUGAGACUGCAUAGCUAGGAUGCGGAAGAGGGAAGCGGAAUUUCCGGUGUAGCGGUGAAAUGCGUAGAUAUCGGAAGGAACAUCAGUGGCGAAAGCGGCUUCCUGGUCCAGCACCGACGUUCAGGCACGAAAGCGUGGGGAGCAAACAGG
rnacentral:rRNA from 1 species